rnacentral:lncRNA from 1 species
GAGCAGGUGGAGCUGUUGUUGCCGCCUUUGUGUCUGUCGGGAUUGUCUCUUGUAUCUCUUGUUGUGGCUGUGUUUGUUUAUCUUUUAUUUGAUGGGUAAUAUGUAAACAAAAAUCAUUGUUAGUUGUAUUUAUCGGAGUUCAUAAUUUACUCUGUUUUUUUGUUUAGGUAAUUUCACUGAUCUUGGUUGUUGUCUUCGUCUUCUUCGUUGCGAAAGUAAGUUUGUAAAUUGUUAAAUAGCUGGUCGUGUAGUUUGUAUUUGCUUAGCUGAUUCGAUGUAUGUGUCGUUGCGAAAGUAAGUUUGUAAAUUGUUAAAUAGCUGGCCGUGUAGUUUGUAUUUGUUUAGCUGACUCGAUGUAUGUGUCGUUGAGUUUUAGUUGAGGUGAUUGAUUUGGUAUAUUUGUUUUGAAGUUUAUUUCUAAGAUUAGACCAAAAAAAGAGGUGAUCAUUAAUGAUUCGUCUUUUUUGGAAUUCUAGUUUUUAAUGUUUUGAUUGUUUGGGUUGUUGUGGUUUCUUUUAAGCUGUAAAAUAAAGGUUUGUGUAAAAUUAGUUUGAUAAGUAAGGGAGAUAAAUAGACGACCACAGAAUUUGGGUAGGAAAUAUUUUUGAUUAUUGAUGUUAGCACAAUAUAGAUAAUAAUAUAAAAGAAAUUGUGUGUUGAUUGUCUCUUACGGAUCAAUGAGGAGACGGAUAACGACUCGAGUUGUUUCUUUGCUAAGGUCAGAGCCUUGGAUAAAAUGGAUUUUUCCAACCACAUCUGCGAGUUUAAAUAUCGGUUAUGAUAACGAAACAUAUUAUAAACCCAGAUGCAAUAUUAUAAUAUACCUGGGAGUUCUAGGUUUGUGUUCGCAAUCACUUGGACAUUGUCAAACAGUCUAAUUAUGAUUGGAGAUGGAUCUCAGGAGCACCCGUGAUGACUUCAUCAAUAAUAGUUGGUG